CCUGUGCCGAACCAACAACCUUCUCUUUCAAUGGUGGUGAUCCAAAUCAGUGUGGAGCAGAAUGCACCAUAGAGAUGUACAACUCUCCUGUUGAACACCUCAAGACUGAAGACUGCAAGGAAAGAACGCUAAUCUACACCGAGCAUCUGAAGAACAACAUGCAAGUCCUCAAACACAUUGGAUCCAAAGGCUGUUCCAGUUCCUCAGACACCAUCAGAGACUGUUU